rnacentral:rRNA from 1 species
UACGUAGGCAGCGAGCGUUGUUCGGAAUUACUGGGCGUAAAGAGUGUGUAGGCGGUGCUCUAAGUUCGGUGUGAAAUCUCCCGCUUAACUGGGGAGGGUGCGCCGGAAACUGGAGUGCUCGAGCGUGGGAGAGGAAAGCGGAAUUCCUGGUGUAGCGGUGAAAUGCGUAGAUAUCAGGAGGAACACCUGCGGUGUAGACGGCUUUCUGGACCAUUGCUGACGCUGAGACACGAAGCGUGGGUAGCAAACAGG